UCUCGGCCAUGACGGAUGCAUAGAGGCUUCUUCCAGGAAGGAGUGGGGCCCCGCGCAGCUCCUGCCCGCCUACCCCAAGUGCGGGCCCACGCAGCCAGACCCGGAAGGGAGCGGCG
rnacentral:SRP_RNA from 1 species